rnacentral:rRNA from 1 species
CGGGAGAUAGCUGGUUCUCCCCGAAAGCUAUUUAGGUAGCGCCUCGUGAAUUCAUCUCCGGGGGUAGAGCACUGUUUCGGCAAGGGGGUCAUCCCGACUUACCAACCCGAUGCAAACUGCGAAUACCGGAGAAUGUUAUCACGGGAGACACACGGCGGGUGCUAACGUCCGUCGUGAAGAGGGAAACAACCCAGACCGCCAGCUAAGGUCCCAAAGUCAUGGUUAAGUGGGAAACGAUGUGGGAAGGCCCAGACAGCCAGGAUGUUGGCUUAGAAGCAGCCAUCAUUUAAAGAAAGCGUAAUAGCUCACUGGUCGAGUCGGCCUGCGCGGAAGAUGUAACGGGGCUAAACCAUGCACCGAAGCUGCGGCAGCGACGCUUAUGCGUUGUUGGGUAGGGGAGCGUUCUGUAAGCCUGCGAAGGUGUGCUGUGAGGCAUGCUGGAGGUAUCAGAAGUGCGAAUGCUGACAUAAGUAACGAUAAAGCGGGUGAAAAGCCCGCUCGCCGGAAGACCAAGGGUUCCUGUCCAACGUUAAUCGGGGCAGGGUGAGUCGACCCCUAAGGCGAGGCCGAAAGGCGUAGUCGAUGGGAAACAGGUUAAUAUUCCUGUACUUGGUGUUACUGCGAAGGGGGGACGGAGAAGGCUAUGUUGGCCGGGCGACGGUUGUCCCGGUUUAAGCGUGUAGGCUGGUUUUCCAGGCAAAUCCGGAAAAUCAAGGCUGAGGCGUGAUGACGAGGCACUACGGUGCUGAAGCAACAAAUGCCAUGCUUCCAGGAAAAGCCUCUAAGCAUCAGGUAACAUCAAAUCGUACCCCAAACCGACACAGGUGGUCAGGUAGAGAAUACCAAGGCGCUUGAGAGAACUCGGGUGAAGGAACUAGGCAAAAUGGUGCCGUAACUUCGGGAGAAGGCACGCUGAUAUGUAGGUGAAGCGACUUGCUCGUGGAGCUGAAAUCAGUCGAAGAUACCAGCUGGCUGCAACUGUUUAUUAAAAACACAGCACUGUGCAAACACGAAAGUGGACGUAUACGGUGUGACGCCUGCCCGGUGCCGGAAGGUUAAUUGAUGGGGUCAGCGCAAGCGAAGCUCUUGAUCGAAGCCCCGGUAAACGGCGGCCGUAACUAUAACGGUCCUAAGGUAGCGAAAUUCCUUGUCGGGUAAGUUCCGACCUGCACGAAUGGCGUAAUGAUGGCCAGGCUGUCUCCACCCGAGACUCAGUGAAAUUGAACUCGCUGUGAAGAUGCAGUGUACCCGCGGCAAGACGGAAAGACCCCGUGAACCUUUACUAUAGCUUGACACUGAACAUUGAGCCUUGAUGUGUAGGAUAGGUGGGAGGCUUUGAAGUGUGGACGCCAGUCUGCAUGGAGCCGACCUUGAAAUACCACCCUUUAAUGUUUGAUGUUCUAACGUUGACCCGUAAUCCGGGUUGCGGACAGUGUCUGGUGGGUAGUUUGACUGGGGCGGUCUCCUCCUAAAGAGUAACGGAGGAGCACGAAGGUUGGCUAAUCCUGGUCGGACAUCAGGAGGUUAGUGCAAUGGCAUAAGCCAGCUUGACUGCGAGCGUGACGGCGCGAGCAGGUGCGAAAGCAGGUCAUAGUGAUCCGGUGGUUCUGAAUGGAAGGGCCAUCGCUCAACGGAUAAAAGGUACUCCGGGGAUAACAGGCUGAUACCGCCCAAGAGUUCAUAUCGACGGCGGUGUUUGGCACCUCGAUG